UCUGUUCACAUGGCAGCAUGUGUGAGCGGAUGCUCCCGGAGCAGGUGGAGUGGUGGCACUGGAUAGCGGUGUACACUUAAAGCGUUCUGGGAAUAUGAAUCCCUUCUGCACCCUGGAAUCACCAGUCCAGCCAUGCAUGGAGCUGGGGAAAGCAGGCCCUGAAUUGUCUAGAGAGACUUGGUGGAGGAGGCCACGGCCCGCCUUGUCCCUGCCGGGUCCCAGCCAGGGCCCUGUGCUAAUCACGAGUCUUUCCUGUUCAGAGCAGUGAGGCCUGAGACCCUCAACAGUGCUGUGUGUACAGAAGGCCCCCAGAAUCCACACAAAGGGGCCGCCUGAAACCUAGAGCAUUUGUGAAGGAGGAAAAUGGAAGGAACAACUGGAUGUUGUAAAUGUUUCUCAUCUGGCCUUAAAAUCCAUGAAAGCUGGAAAAUCACAAGGCAUCUGUGCACAUACUGGUGGAUUUUAAUGAGAGUCCUGUGUUUGGAGCACCAGAAAUAAACCAGCUUCAGAAGCAAAGGAGGAGGAAGCAGAGCUAGAGAUGGAAGGAGACCCAGCCAGCCCGGGCUCCAGUGACAUCGGCUGGUACACGCUUUUGUUUGCUUACGCUUGUUGAACUGAGUUUUUCAUAUGUAACUAACGAAUAGUGGCACAUGUGAGACUGGGCAUGAUUCAGAAAAGUUGGAAGAUCUAGAGAGGGAUCUUGCAAUCUGAAGUUUCUUGUUUAGUCACUGGAGGAUCUGAACGUCUAUGACACUCUUUCGAGCUGACACAGUGAAGAACAUGGAAGGAGAACUCACCCAGUCUGCCAGGGUCACAGAUGAUCAUACUCAAGAUCUUCCUGGGGAGUCAAUGGCAAAUUUCACUGGGCUAUUUUACAGAUGAAGAAGGAACAUAAAGAAGGUUCUGGGACCCU
rnacentral:lncRNA from 1 species